AUACUUACCUUCUUGGAAGCAUGCCGCUCACAAAUGGCGUUGCUUACGAUACGAGACCUCCAUUGCACAUCGGGGCGUCAAGAAUCGUUGACUUGGAUUCGUCCACGUCACUGGGGGAAUUUUUGAUAGCUUCAUUGCUGUACGCAAUACAC
rnacentral:snRNA from 22 species